AGGCUUGCAGGUAAAGAAGGUUUCUGUCUUUCAUCACCGAUCUUUUGCUUCUUUCUUCACCAGGGAAAUGAGGAUUCUGUGGAGCCAACUCUUGGGUGCAGUAAGGAAACCAUUAAUAUAGGAAGAAGGAAGAAAUAAUCUCAAGAGGCUGCUUUGACUGUGUCUUUCUGUCACUAAGAGAAUGACUGAUGAACAUCUGCGAACGAUCAGAGACGGACAGAGUGACUCUGCUGAUCUUCAAGAAAGAUUGGGACUUGUUUAUCAGUUUUUCACGACAACAACAACAGGGGCAAAUGUCAGUUGUUGGAUUGAUGAAUUUGGAAGAGUGUUUUCAAAGGCAGAAGUGCAAAAUUCUUACAAUUAGACCCAAGUCUGUCUGUUGAUUUGUUUGUUAAAAUACAUUGUGUGUCUAUCUA